rnacentral:sRNA from 12 species
CCUAGCUUAUUGUUUAGAGGUCUGUCUCCCAAGACAGACUAAUGAAGGGCAGUAACUUGGGCUACACGCUUACCCAUAAUGUAGCAAAAGUGCUACAAUAAAAUACAAUGGCGAUAGUUAGUAGCUAUAAAAGGUGUGUGGGAAGCCCUUUCGCGAAUAUUGGAGCCAUGGUGGAUAAAUAAUUAUGGAUAAGCUAGCCGGU